AAGGUCUUUUAAUAAGGUUCCAUCAGCAUAUGGAAGGUUAGAAUAGAUGCUGAGAUUUUAGUUCGAGGGAGUUGAGUGACACUGUAUGUGGGAAGUCAAGCGCUAGGGCUGCAGACAACUUCCUUGGACAGUUUCAGGGGUUGGUGAUUCUACGAGGCGGAUGCUAUUGGGGGCGGGACCGAAUCAGCCCUGAAAUCAUGCAGGGGUGAUCUGGCCUCUCACCAACCUGAUAUAUAAGCUUCCGUCACAAAUCAGGACUGUGGCAGUCGGUAUCAUCUCCCUAGAGGAAGAUAAAAGUUCAAAGGCCGACUAAAGUUACGGAUUCAACUCGAUCCUAAAGGCUGAAACAUCUCCCCGGAAACUAUUAGAGGUUACGUGGCGCCGAUCCCUCAUCUGACCCGGACUCGGUCAUUGCAUUUCCAUCGUACCUUGGCUCAACCUGUGUCAACCCGAUCCGAUCCGAUCCGAUCCUUUGGCUAUCGGAUCCAGAUCGAGUGACUAUCGGCCCCGUCCUCUAUUCUCUCUCAGCUGCCUGGCUCUAAUGCUCACCGAUCGAUGCCCACCUAUUUCUUGCUCGUCUUUGCUUCUUCAGAUAUCAUUCAAUCUUAGUCUUCAUCAACCAUGUGGACUUUCAUACGCCAUCAUCUCUCCUCACAUCCUCAUCUUCCUUACUUGGAAUCUGAGGCCAUCAACGCCCUUCCAAAUUGCAAGUAUCCACCACCACAGAAUGAUCAACGUCUCGUCACUGAAGGUUUUCUCCAAGACUCGAACCGCAGCCACAGAGUCUUGGAGAAGUAUCCUUCCCAUCCAAUGCCAACUAAUAAUAAUGCAUCACCAUUUGUCCUAUGCACAAGUAUCUUCCCUUUCUUAAACUGAACCAUCGACAUUCCUAAUCAAACACAUUGGUAGGAGGGAGGAAUCGAUUGCCAGUACUCCUCCAUGUUUCAGCUUUCUUUCAUCAUCAUCAUCUCAGUAGCUGCACCAGUCCUUCUUUCAGGUUCUCAUGCAUUACCACUACCAAUCCCCUACCACAUUCAACAAGUACUUCCCUGAACUCAGUAUGGCAACAAAAGACACACCCUUUGUUGUAGAACCCCCACAAUAUCUCCUCGCGACACCCUUCUCAACUUCACUCUGGAUCUCCAAGAUCCUCCAUGCCAAUCUCUCCAGGAAGUCUGGUUCUCCUUCAGAAUUGAAGUGCUUCGAUGUCGAGAACAUUACCUGUUUAGCUAGAAUCCCUCCAACCCUGAGAUUUAAUCAUAUCCUGAGACCAGAAAGCAUAGCAGCCACCAUCGAGGAAGGAAAUGAGGAGGAGGAAGAGUAUGGGAGUCGCAAGUCUCACAACAGUGCCCUGGCUUCAGAGGAAGGGACGGCUAAAGGGAAGGGUCAUUGGAAUGACAUGCAUAAGUUUCUACUGGCCGGCACAGUGUCCACAGUCAUAUCCAGGACGUGCGUUGCGCCAUUGGAGAGAAUAAAGCUGGAAUGCAUCGUCCAGGGAUCAAAGCGUCCAUUGGUGAAGAUAGUCCAGUGUAUCUGGACUGCAGAAGGGUUGAGGGGAUUCUGGAAGGGCAAUGCACUCAACCUCCUCCGCAUGGUACCUUUCAAAUCCAUCAAUUUCAUUUGCUACGACAUGUAUUUGGAUUGGCUCCUCAACUCCCCGGGGAAGAAGGAGAUCACAAAUCACGAUAGACUCGUUGGGGGUGGCAUCUCCGGCCUCCUGGCCACCGUGAUCUGCAUUCCUCUCGACACCAUAAGGACGAGGCUGGUUGCGCCGGGCGGCGACGCUCUCGGGGGAGUGGCAGGCUGUGUCUCUCACAUGGUGCAGAAUGAAGGCUUCCUCUCGCUCUACAAGGGCCUGGCUGCCGCCCUCAUCAGCAUGGGUCCGGCGAGCGCAGUCUUCUACACGGUCUACGACAUCCUCAAGAGCUCUCACCUCUCCGAGACGAAGAAGAAGAGGACUGAACUAGGUCCUGCGUGGACCUUAGCAUACGGUGCAAUUGCAGGGGCAUGCUCUGAGACCGUGACGUAUCCUCUGGAAGUCAUCCGGAGGCAACUCCAGCUCCAGCAAUCCACCAACCUGGGCCUGGCUUCCGCCUUCAUCGAUCUGGUGAAGAGACGAGGAGCCGAGUCUCUCUUUGCAGGACUAGUUCCGAGCACACUUCAGGUGUUGCCUUCUGCAGCUUUGAGCUAUUUCUUCUACGAGAUGAUGAAAUCUAUAUUGAAGAUCUAGAAAAAGAUGCAGAGCGUGGCCGAAUCGUGAGACAAUGAAACCUAUCUUAAAUUUUUCUGCUUCCUCAUGGUUGAUUCGUUAUUGCUUAUACAUUGUUGCCUGUGAAUCCUGAGCUUCUCAGAAACUGUACCGUCUCGAACAAGUUUGCUGACAUGUACUGAAGGAUGAACUAAGAAUUCAAGCAUGCUUUCUAUCAAUUAUCUCUGGUAAAAAUCAAAAACCACAAACAGGAACAGCUUCUUUUGCAGUCAAGCAAUAAGAGAAAGACAAACAUACACCAUAACCGGAAAUCAAGUUGGAUUUCCAAUCUUUAAAGCAUUUGGUUUGCGGUAAUGACAAACAUACCGUUACUGUCGUGUACUCACUUGACAGCUGAAAGUCCAUUUAUAUUAAUCUUCCUUGAUAAGUCAAAAGUCAGAGCACAGAAGAUGAAUGAAGGUGGCACGGUAAGGUCAAUGGAGGAACACAACACAACUUACGUGUUUUAGACUGAUUUCAUGCCGGCAUCAGAUGGAAGGCUCGAUCCUGCAGUUUGAGGUGGGCAAGUCUUCGGAACUCCUUCCCAGCCACCUUGUCGCACGCCGGAACUCAAAGCAGCAGCGACCCUUUCAAACAUGAGGCCUGCAGGCGUCACAAGUCCGUCCUCACAGAAAGCCAACAACAAUCUCUUUGAUUGCCUGCGAGGAAGUGUUGUCAGCAUCUCGGAUUUGAUCUGGAAAAGGAAAAAUGCUAAAUGAGAAUAAUGUUGACACAGAA